CAGACUUCCUGCAUUUGAAACUCCCGGAUGGGGCCCAGCAAUCUGAUUACAGAGCCCUGCAGGUAGCUUUGAUAGUCAAGUUUGAAAAACACUGCCGUAAAGCUAUCGAUUUUUUUUUUUUUUUCCACCGAGGCUUCAGUGACAGAAGCUCUGAACCUAUCUGGGUUGUGGUUCCUGUUUGCCUGCGUUUUCCAGUGAGAGAGUGAUGUGUUAACAACAGCUGUAAUGAUUUCUCUAAUGAAGCCUCCUUGGCUCUGUUGGGUUCCCAUUAACAACGGUUGAGCGCUACUGCCCUCUCGUGGUGGAUGGACGCCAGAUUUUGCCGCUUGGCAGAUGACAAGAGCCAGAUUGCACAGGAUGACUUGGACUAGAGAUGGAAAGGGUCUGCAUGCAUGGAAAAUGGGUCAAGCAUCCAGGCCCCAGGUCUUUACUGAACCCUAAACUAGUUUCCCAGACAGUGUGUGAGUUGAGUGCUUCUCCAAUAUCUUUCAUACAACGCCCUUUAAGAGGUAUUUGCCAGAACAAAAGGAAUCUAUUCUGAAACUAAAUGGAUGUUUCCUCCUCUAGAGCCUGAAAUCUAGAAAAAGACAGCCAUAUCCUAUGCUUUUAAACAAUCUUCGUUUCUCUAGUCAUGAAAUUAAUAUGCAGAAAUGGAAUUACACUGGUGAAGCUCACAGGAAGAGGCUUUGAGGAAAGACAGAGGCCAAAAUGACUUCUGAAGUGUCUGUACACUUAAAGAGGAAGUCUCUGAAACCGAAACCAAAUAAGCAUAAGGAUAUAAGACAUCAGCAGUCUCGUAACAUUCCACCCAAACAUACUGAAUCACUCUUUUGUGCCAGCGAUGCUCCAGCCACACCAGCCCUUGUUUCAUCUGCCUGGACCGCUCCCCCCUUUCUUUCACAGAGCUCUCUCUCUCUCUCAGCUCACUCAUUAGAGAGAGAAGCCUUCUCUGACCAAGCAAUCUAAAUAAAGUAGCAGCGCCCAGGUCGCUGUCCAUCUGCUA